rfam:Picea glauca, whole genome shotgun sequence.
UCUUAUGUACAUACCUACAAGAUAGCGUUAAUUCAUCGGAUCCCAUUAGAAAUCCGCAGUUAAGUGCACUCGGGCUAGAAUAGUACUGAGAUGGGUGACCUCCUGGGAAGUCCUAGUAUUUUACAUGCC